rnacentral:rRNA from 1 species
UACGAAAGGUGCAAGCGUUACUCGGAAUUACUGGGCGUAAAGCGCGCGUAGGCGGCUUUGUAGGUCGAUUGUGAAAGCCCAGGGCUCAACCUUGGAAUUGCAGUUGAAACCGCAUAGCUUGAAUGUUGGAGAGGGUGGGGGAAUACCUAGUGGAGAAGUGAAAUUCGUAGAGAUUAGGUGGAACACCAGAGGCGAAGGCGCCUGCCUGGCCAAACAUUGACGCUAAGGCGCGAAAGUGCGGGGAGCAAACAGG